UGGCGCCCGAACAGGGACCUAGAAACGAGGGACUCCGUGAGGAAGAGGACGCCAAAGGACGGUCGACCGCUAACGAAGACAAAAGAAAGUGAACUCUUCCGAUCACCGCGGGAACCUGCCGCGUCAGAAUCGAAGGUAAGUGACGCGUCCGAAAUGGGACAAGAAUUAAGCCAACAUCAGAUCUAUGUAGGACAAUUAAAAGAGGCUUUAAAGAUACGAGGAGUAAAGGUUAAAGGUAAUGAUUUGUUUAAAUUUUUUGAUUUUGUAAAAGACACUUGCCCUU
rfam:Chlorocebus sabaeus isolate 1994-021 chromosome 17, whole genome shotgun sequence.